rnacentral:snRNA from 1 species
AGCUUUGCGCAGUGGCGAUAUCGUAACCAAUGAGGUUCUACCGAGGUGCGAUUAUUGCUAGUUGAAAACUUUUACCAAUACCCCGCCAUGACGAUGUGAAACACCAUCGGCUACGGCAAUUUUUGAAAGUUUCUGCGGAAA